rnacentral:ribozyme from 1 species
UUUCUUUUUGUGCAUUUUUUUCUUCUUUAUUGUUUUUCUCAUUUGUUUUUUCUCAGAUUCUUGAAACCAGACUGCUGGACAGCACCGGGAAGCAAUGCUGGGGGCCCAAGUGAUCAUUACAAUACAGGAAAAGUUGAU